rnacentral:rRNA from 1 species
UACGAAGGGGGCUAGCGUUGUUCGGAAUUACUGGGCGUAAAGCGCACGUAGGCGGAUAUUUAAGUCAGGGGUGAAAUCCCGCAGCUCAACUCCAGAACUGCCUUUGAUACUGGCGAUCUCGAGUCCGGGAGAGGUGAGUGGAACUGCGAGUGUAGAGGUGAAAUUCGUAGAUAUUCGCAAGAACACCAGUGGCGAAGGCGGCUCACUGGCCCGGUACUGACGCUGAGGUGCGAAAGCGUGGGGAGCAAACAGG